rfam:Ornithorhynchus anatinus chromosome 4, whole genome shotgun sequence.
CCCCUCUCAGGGUCGCACUUGGAGAGUUUCCAGUACUCUCCCAGUCUCGACUACAGGAGGGAGAGUCAAGCAGAGGCCUAUCCACUCCAUUCCUAGCUUGGGCAGUGGCUAGCGAGUGGAAGCCAAUCCUGCUACAAGU